GUGCUUUCAGCAGCACAUAGACUAAAACUGGAUUGAUAUGGAGAAGAUUAGCAUGGCCCCUGUGUGAGAAUGACACGAAAAUUCAUGGUCUUCCAUAUUAAA
rnacentral:snRNA from 1 species